ACUCAGCCCACCUGCACCCAGGUGAUUAAAAAGCUUUAUUGCUCACACAAAGCCUGUUUGGUGGUCUCUUCACAUGGACGCGCGUGACAUUUGGUGCCCUGACUUGGAUCAGGGGACCUCCCUUGGGAGAUCAAUCCCCUGUCCUCCUGCUCUUUGCUCCGUGAGAAAGAUCCACCUACGACCUCUGGUCCUCAGACCAACCAGCCCAAGGAACAUCUCACCAAUUUUUAAUCAGGAAUAUUCUGUGAAAAAGACUAAGAUAUCAGAGAAAUUAUUAGUGCACAUUAUUAGAAGAGAGCUUCAGAUGAAAAUAAAGGGAAUGAGGAUGCUACUGACAUCUAGUAGGCAGAGGUCAGGGAUGCUGGCAAACUUCCUACAAUGCACAGGACUGCCUGGAAUAAUAAAGAAGGAUACAGCCCUAAAUUGUCAACAAUGCACAUCUUGAGAAAAAUGUUCCAAAGUAAAAGCUGAGUGAUUGUUCAUCAGCUAAAUAAAUGGUAAGUCUUGUUAUAAGUAGGAGGAACAAUGGGACAUGGUUUUUCUACAAUGGAUGAAUUGAAAAGAUUAUCAUAUGUUGUAACAUUUUUCUAUUUGUAGGGAAUACAUUCACUACAUUCACAUGGUCCAAGAUUCAAAAGAUACUCAAGAAGUUGUAGUCCAAGUCUCCCUCCCACCCCAUCCCUGUUUCACCCAAGUUCCCUCCCUGGAGGAAACUGUUAGUAAUCUCUUAUUUAGUUACCUAAAAGUUCUCUAGGCCUCUGUAAGAAAUUAUAUACAUGCACAGAAACAUACUAUACAUAUUCUUUGCAUUGUGCUUUUGUUACAAUUCAUUUUGGAGAUUGUUUUCUAUCAUGAUACAAAGCGUUUCCCCAUUAUUUCUUUUUAAGAUAGCAAAGUAUUUCAUUGUAGGUUGUAUGCAAGUUUUCUAUUUUAUGUAACCAUUCCCCUCUCUAUGGAUAUUUAGAUUAUUUCCUUUUUUUCUGUUACAGACACUGAUCAAUGAAUAUCUUUAUCUGUGAGUUUAAGUCCUACAAACAGAAUUGCCAAAUAAGCACAUUUGUGCUUGUAAUUUUUAUCAGAUGUUGUCCAAAUUACCCUCCAUUCUCCAUUAAAUUGAAUAUGUUUCCAUUCACACUGGCAAUACAUAUAUAAAGGAGUUUGGAUAACUUUAUAAUUUUAAAAGUUUUUCUCAUUCUUUUCAUCAAAACCUGAGAAUAAAUAAGAGGUGGACACACAAUAUAAUAUUUUCUGUCUAAAAUGUUCUCAGCACUCAGGUAUCCAGAAUCUAUUCAUGGGAGAUAUUUUUUUUCUAAUCUGUUUUUAGUGCGCUAAAAUAUAUAACAUAAACUUUACCAUUUUCACAAUUAUUGUGUACAAUUCAUUGGCAUUAAGUACUUUUAUAAUGUUAUGCAAAUAUCAUUAUUGGCUAUUUCUAAAUUAUUUCAUCACAACAAAAAGAAACUAAUCUGUGAAAGCUGAAAGAAUUUGGUCAUUCUUGUCAUACCCAGCUAAAACAGAGUUCAGAGCCAGAAAGAAAAAAGCACCCAGGGCACAUAACAUUUCUUCAAGAAUGUUAUUCUCUGCAAGCGUGGCUGCUGAAACUGCCUGCUCCAACCUGAAACCAGUUUUAUUCAAUAUCUACUGAAACAGGCUGCUGUGACUCUAAGAAUAGUUUUACCCACACCCAUCACUUAUUUAGAGCUUACCAGCUCCCCAAAACUAGUGCCAAUGAAUUUUCCUGAAGAACAAUACAUAACAUUUCUUCUUUUUAUAAAACCGCCAACCUUCUCUUUGUUCUUUAGACAUAGCAAAGACCACCCUGUCUGUGUGUAUGCCCUGAAAUGAAAUUCUUGCUUCUCAAAUAAAACGUUUUAUAUUUA